CCUACGGGAUGCAGCAGUGGGGAAUAUUGCACAAUGGGGGAAACCCUGAUGCAGCGACGCCGCGUGAGUGAAGAAGUAUUUCGGUAUGUAAAGCUCUAUCAGCAGGGAAGAAAAUGACGGUACCUGAUUAAGAAGCCCCGGCUAACUACGUGCCAGCAGCCGCGGUAAUACGUAGGGGGCAAGCGUUAUCCGGCUUUACUGGGUGUAAAGGGCGCGUAGACGGCAGCACAAGUCUGGAGGGAAAUGCCGGGGCUUAACCCCGGAACUGCUUUGGAAACUGUGCAGCUAGAGUGCAGGAGAGGUAAGUGGAAUUCCUAGUGUAGCGGGGAAAGGCGUAGAUAUUAGGAGGAACACCAGUGGCGAAGGCGGCUGACUGGACUGUAACUGACGUUGAGGCUCGAAAGCGUGGGGAGCAAACAGGAUUAGAUACCCGAGUAGUC
rnacentral:rRNA from 1 species